CUUUUUUCUCUUCUCUUGCUGCGUUUCUCUGUUUACUUUUGCGCUCGCCUGCUGCUUCUGCCUCGUCUCCCCUCUGAGUCACAUGUCACCCGAUCCAAAGUUGAAAUUUGCAUUGUAGCGGCUUUUGCACGCUGCUUUUCCGAGGAUCAGGGCUAUCGAGCCUGAACCAACAUGGUCGGAUUGAUUGGCCCGUGGAAAAUAUUGACUCUUUCGUGAUUGGUGGGCUAACGUAAUUGAUUAUCUUGAUCGUAUCCAUACAAAAGCGCAACAAAUCCUCCUCAAAAA